rnacentral:rRNA from 1 species
UGGGGAAUAUUGCACAAUGGGGGAAACCCUGAUGCAGCAACGCCGCGUGAAGGAAGACGGUCUUCGGAUUGUAAACUUUUGUUCUUGGUGAAGAAGAAUGACGGUAGCCAAGGAGGAAGCCACGGCUAACUACGUGCCAGCAGCCGCGGUAAUACGUAGGUGGCAAGCGUUGUCCGGAAUUACUGGGUGUAAAGGGAGCGCAGGCGGGAAAUCAAGUUGGAUGUGAAAUGUCGGGGCUUAACCCCGGAACUGCAUCCAAAACUGAUAUUCUUGAGUGAAGUAGAGGUAGGCGGAAUUCCGAGUGUAGCGGUGAAAUGCGUAGAUAUUCGGAGGAACACCAGUGGCGAAGGCGGCCUACUGGGCUUUAACUGACGCUGAGGCUCGAAAGUGUGGGGAGCAAACAGG